AGCCCUUGACAUGUCGGUCGCGGUUUCCAGAGAUGGAUACCUUCAGUUAGGCUGGACCGAACACAGGUGCUGCAUGGCUGUCGUCAGCUCGUGUCGUGAGAUGUUGGGUUAAGUCCCGCAACGAGCGCAACCCUCGCCCUUAGUUGCCAGCAUUCAGUUGGGCACUCUAAGGGGACUGCCGGUGAUAAGCCGAGAGGAAGGUGGGGAUGACGUCAAGUCCUCAUGGCCCUUACGGG
rnacentral:rRNA from 1 species